rnacentral:rRNA from 1 species
GUUAAUAUUCCCGUACUUGGUGUUACUGCGAAGGGGGGACGGAGAAGGCUAUGUUGGCCGGGCGACGGUUGUCCCGGUUUAAGCGUGUAGGUGUGUGUUCCAGGUAAAUCCGGUUCACUUUAACACUGAGGCGUGAUGACGAGGCACUACGGUGCUGAAGCAACAAAUGCCCUGCUUCCAGGAAAAGCCUCUAAGCAUCAGGUAACAUCAAAUCGU